CUCAUCACAUCCCGUGGAAACUCUCGUUAAGUCUUCACAUUUUGUUGGAGUAGCCUAGGCCAUACCUAGGCUUAUAUUAUUCGUAGUUUUCCGGAUUAAGGUUUGUAUUUUCUGAGCUUAGCCAAUGUAGGACACAAUACAACACAUGAAAGCUGCUUGCUUGGUUGCACAAUGGUAAGAUUUCCCACACAGCGCUGGGGCCACAGAGAAUACCAGUUUUGAAGUUGAGUGACCCAGUGGUGCACUAAAGGUUGCUUUCAUCACCGCCGGACCAACACAAGCCCCCAACUUUAUUUGUUUAUAUUUCAAGUGCAUUGUCAAUAUGUGUGGUGGUAUACAACAGACGAGACAACUUCAUCACUGUGCGCUCAAUAGAUGCGCUUUCACGCCAUUCAGCGACUGCAGAAAGAUUGCUCUGAAAGUCCAGCGGUUAGUUGGUUUUGUGUCUCUCUUUCUUCUGCAACUGCAACAAAAUUGUGGAGAAGUCUCGCCAGGGAACAGUUUACCAACCAAUGGGGAUGAGGAUGAGGAUGGUGGAACAUACACCAAACCCAGCUGACAUCUCAUACUACUAAACUAAGCCAGAAGGCCAGAGAUGGCAUCAGUUGUAAAGGAGGAAUGCGUUUCCAUGGAUUCUGCUCUAAAAGACAACACAGUAGACGAUGCUUCCUUCUGUACGUCUUUAAAUGACAAAUCUGAAGGUAACUAAGCUAUGAAUAAUUGUGGCCGUGUUCGAUAACAACGGUUGUUGGUUUAAACCAGGGAGGGUGGCAAUUAGAUUACGGCCCCUGAAUCCAACAGCCAAGGUGUUUUACUACUCAGGGUCUGGUAAAACAGGAAAUCUUUACUCGGCAGUCAAUUUAAGAAUCAAGCAUAAGAACUCUUUGUCUCCCAUUAAUGAAAAUGAGAGAUAAUGAAGGUAACCUUAGCCAUAAGGAAAAAUGAACAGAAGAGAAACAAAACAGGGAUUCUACAAACCUGUAUCCUCAGAGAAAAUCCUAAACUACUACCAUUUUUAAAGGUACUGGACACUGUCGGUAAUCACUCAAUUGUUAGCAGUUUAUUUGGUAAUGAGCAAUAAAGAGCUGUUGAUAGUAUAAAACCUUUGAGAAAUGGCUC